rnacentral:rRNA from 1 species
GAUGAACGCUGGCGGCGUGCCUAAUACAUGCAAGUCGAGCGAACAGAUGAGGAGCUUGCUCCUCUGACGUUAGCGGCGGACGGGUGAGUAACACGUGGAUAACCUACCUAUAAGACUGGGAUAACUUCGGGAAACCGGAGCUAAUACCGGAUAAUAUAUUGAACCGCAUGGUUCAAUAGUGAAAGACGGUUUUGCUGUCACUUAUAGAUGGAUCCGCGCCGCAUUAGCUAGUUGGUAAGGUAACGGCUUACCAAGGCAACGAUGCGAAGCCGACCUGAGAGGGUGAUCGGCCACACUGGAACUGAGACACGGUCCAGACUCCUACGGGAGGCAGCAGUAGGGAAUCUUCCGCAAUGGGCGAAAGCCUGACGGAGCAACGCCGCGUGAGUGAUGAAGUUCUUCGGAUCGUAAAACUCUGUUAUUAGGGAAGAACAAAUGUGUAAGUAACUAUGCACGUCUUGACGGUACCUAAUCAGAAAGCCACGGCUAACUACGUG